AUUUUUGCGCAGUGGCAGUAUUGUGAGCUUGUGAGGUUGAACUGAGGCACGAUCAUUGCUAGUUGAAUU
rnacentral:snRNA from 1 species